GAUGAACGCUGGCGGCGUGCCUAAUACAUGCAAGUCGAGCAAACGGACGAGAAGCUUGCUUCUCUGAUGUUAGCGGCGGACGGGUGAGUAACACGUGGAUAACCUACCUAUAAGACUGGGAUAACUUCGGGAAACCGGAGCUAAUACCGGAUGAUAUUUUGAACCGCAUGGUUCAAAAGUGAAAGACGGUCUUGCUGUCACUUAUAGAUGGAUCCGCGCUGCAUUAGCUAGUUGGUAAGGUAACGGCUUACCAAGGCAACGAUGCAUAGCCGACCUGAGAGGGUGAUCGGCCACACUGGAACUGAGACACGGUCCAGACUCCUACGGGAGGCAGCAGUAGGGAAUCUUCCGCAAUGGGCGAAAGCCUGACGGAGCAACGCCGCGUGAGUGAUGAAGGUCUUCGGAUCGUAAAACUCUGUUAUUAGGGAAGAACAUAUGUGUAAGUAACUGUGCACAUCUUGACGGUACCUAAUCAGAAAGCCACGGCUAACUACGUG
rnacentral:rRNA from 1 species